GACGAACGCUGGCGGCGUGCUUAACACAUGCAAGUCGAACGGAAAGGCCCUGCUUGCAGGGUACUCGAGUGGCGAACGGGUGAGUAACACGUGGGUGAUCUGCCCUGCACUUCGGGAUAAGCCUGGGAAACUGGGUCUAAUACCGGAUAGGAGCCAUUUUUAGUGUGAUGGUUGGAAAGUUUUUUCGGUGUAGGAUGAGCUCGCGGCCUAUCAGCUUGUUGGUGGGGUAAUGGCCUACCAAGGCGGCGACGGGUAGCCGGCCUGAGAGGGUGGACGGCCACAUUGGGUCUGAGAGACGGCCCAGACUCCUACGGGAGGCAGCAGUGGGGAAUAUUGCACAAUGGGCGCAAGCCUGAUGCAGCGACGCCGCGUGUGGUAUGACGGCCUUCGGGUUGUAAACUCCUUUCGCUAGGGACGAAGCUUUUUGUGACGGUACCUAGAUAAGAAGCACCGGCUAACUACGUG
rnacentral:rRNA from 1 species